rnacentral:rRNA from 1 species
CCAACGGGGGGCAGCAGUGGGGAAUAUUGGACAAUGGGGGCAACCCUGAUCCAGCCAUGCCGCGUGUGUGAAGAAGGCCCUCGGGUUGUAAAGCACUUUCAGUGAGGAAGAACGCCUGGUGGUUAAUACCCAUCAGGAAAGACAUCACUCACAGAAGAAGCACCGGCUAACUCCGUGCCAGCAGCCGCGGUAAUACGGAGGGUGCGAGCGUUAAUCGGAAUUACUGGGCGUAAAGCGCGCGUAGGUGGCUUGAUAAGCCGGUUGUGAAAGCCCCGGGCUCAACCUGGGAACGGCAUCCGGAACUGUCAAGCUAGAGUGCAGGAGAGGAAGGUAGAAUUCCCGGUGUAGCGGUGAAAUGCGUAGAGAUCGGGAGGAAUACCAGUGGCGAAGGCGGCCUUCUGGACUGACACUGACACUGAGGUGCGAAAGCGUGGGUAGCAAACAGGAUUAGAUACCCUAGUAGUC